UGAUAUCUGUACAGUUUAUAUUUGUGGUAGUAAAUAACUUAAAGCCAAACGAAAUUGUAAGUGUAGUGACCUUUUGGUCUUCCCAUGAAAUCGACAGAUACUAAGAGUAGUAUAACAUCAGCAGUCGAGCGGUGCACUCGAAAAUUUUAACGCAGCAUUCUAAAAUCAUUCCGAGCGGCAAUAAAACAGCUGCUCAUAUUGUCGCCGGUAUAUUUACCAAAGAUAAGUUGAAAGAAAAAUCAUUACGAGCUUCAAAAUUUCGGAUCUCGGGGCACAGCAGAGGACUCAAGAGGCAAGAGCACAUUGACGACAAGUUCAAACUAAAAAUUUGGAGGCUGCAACUGAUUUGGAAGACUUACUAUAUGGCCCUAGAAUAGACGAAUCCAUGUUCACUUAAUAUAGACUUCACCGUGGAACUUGUUUUGAACUUUAAAACAAUGGGCAUCAAUGGACUGCAAACAAUCACGCCUCUAAUCUGAUGGAAUAAGACGUAAACAGGCUCUCUUCCACGUGUUAUAUUAUUUGCUUCGUAUCGAU